CGCGGUCGCGGAGGUGGACGAGGCGGGCGAGGGAACCAGAACUCCUCUGGCAGCGCCUCCCGCAAGAACGACAAGUGCCGCUACUGCAACAACCUGGGCCACUGGGCCCGGGAAUGCCGGAAGAAGAAGCGCGACGAGGAGGUGAACCUCGCCGAAGCUGACGAGGAAGAGCCAGGCCUCCUGAUGGUCCAGGCCUGCACCCUAGAUGAGGGUAGCACGGCAGGGCCGGAGCUGAAUCUGACUGCGCCCUGGUCAUCCCUCUCGACCGCGGCGGCGCAGGUAUUCCUCAACGAGGAGCGCGCGCGCGUGGAGCUGCAGCAGUCUCCUGGCGACACCGAUGCGGCCUGGUACCUCGACACCGGGGCGUCGAACCACAUGACC
rnacentral:rRNA from 1 species